GAGAGAUUCUGUUGAGUUGCAGGAAAGAUAUUCAGACCAGAACAGCGCAGACUCAGUGAUAAAGCAUUUGAGGAGCUAUUGAGAAUUAGAUGCUCAGUGACUUUUGCAUUGGAAUACAUGAUAACUGCAAGGAAAAUUCCGGCAUGGUAAAUCUUUUUCUUCGAGCCAAGCACUUUCCUAAGAAUAAGGUCUCCCAUCUGAAGAUUUGAUGUAUUGAAAUUGCCAUCAUUGGAUUCUAUUAUUGUUUUGAAGUUCCCGUUGCAUCCAAGUAUCAAGGUCAUAAUGUUUUUGAAAUUGUCCAUUGUUUU